AACGAACGCUGGCGGCAGGCUUAACACAUGCAAGUCGAGCGCCCCGCAAGGGGAGCGGCAGACGGGUGAGUAACGCGUGGGAAUCUACCCAUCUCUACGGAAUAACGCAUGGAAACGUGUGCUAAUACCGUAUACGUCCUUCGGGAGAAAGAUUUAUCGGAGAUGGAUGAGCCCGCGUUGGAUUAGCUAGUUGGUGGGGUAAAGGCCUACCAAGGCGACGAUCCAUAGCUGGUCUGAGAGGAUGAUCAGCCACACUGGGACUGAGACACGGCCCAGACUCCUACGGGAGGCAGCAGUGGGGAAUAUUGGACAAUGGGCGCAAGCCUGAUCCAGCCAUGCUGCGUGAGUGAUGAAGGCCCUAGGGUUGUAGAGCUCUUUCACCGGUGAAGAUAAUGACGGUAACCGGAGAAGAAGCCCCGGCUAACUUCGUGCCAGCCGCCGCAGUAAUAC
rnacentral:rRNA from 1 species